rnacentral:rRNA from 1 species
AGUGAACGCUGGCGGCAGGCCUAACACAUGCAAGUCGAGCGGCAGCGCGGGGGCAACCCUGGUGGCGAGUGGCGGACGGGUGAGUAACACAUCGGAACGUGCCCUGGAGUGGGGGAUAACGCAGCGAAAGCUACGCUAAUACCGCAUAUUCUGUGAGCAGGAAAGCAGGGGAUCGCAAGACCUUGCGCUUUGGGAGCGGCCGAUGUCGGAUUAGCUAGUUGGUGGGGUAAAGGCUUACCAAGGCGACGAUCCGUAGCGGGUCUGAGAGGAUGAUCCGCCACACUGGGACUGAGACACGGCCCAGACUCCUACGGGAGGCAGCAGUGGGGAAUUUUGGACAAUGGGCGGAAGCCUGAUCCAGCCAUGCCGCGUGAGUGAAGAAGGCCU